AACGAACGCUGGCGGCAUGCCUAACACAUGCAAGUCGAACGAGACCUUCGGGUCUAGUGGCGCACGGGUGCGUAACGCGUGGGAACCUGCCCUUAGGUUCGGAAUAACUCCCCGAAAGGGGUGCUAAUACCGGAUAAUGUCUUCGGACCAAAGAUUUAUCGCCUUUGGAUGGGCCCGCGUUGGAUUAGCUAGUUGGUAGUGUAAAAGCCUACCAAGGCGACGAUCCAUAGCUGGUCUGAGAGGAUGAUCAGCCACACUGGGACUGAGACACGGCCCAGACUCCUACGGGAGGCAGCAGUGGGGAAUAUUGGACAAUGGGCGAAAGCCUGAUCCAGCAAUGCCGCGUGAGUGAUGAAGGCCUUAGGGUUGUAAAGCUCUUUUACCCGGGAUGAUAAUGACAGUACCGGGAGAAUAAGCACCGGCUAACUCCGUG
rnacentral:rRNA from 1 species